rnacentral:rRNA from 1 species
GGUACACGCUGUGACUAGCAUAUCAAUAAGCGGAGGAAAAGAAACUAACAAGGAUUCCCCUAGUAACGGCGAGUGAAGCGGGAAGAGCUCAAAUUUGAAAUCUUAAAGGGUUUCCCUUUACGAAUUGUAGUUUAAAGAAGUGUUUUCUGUUGAGGUUUUGGUAAAAGUUCUUUGGAAUAGGACAUCAUAGAGGGUGAGAAUCCCGUAUAUGACCUUUACUUUCAACUUUGUGAUACACUUUCAAAGAGUCGGAUUGUUUGGGAAUGCAGUCCAAAAUGGGUGGUAAAUUUCAUCUAAAGCUAAAUAUUGGCGAGAGACCGAUAGCGAACAAGUACCGUGAGGGAAAGAUGAAAAGAACUUUGAAAAGAGAGUUAAACAGUACGUGAAAUUGUCAAAAGGGAAGCGUUUGACACCAGUGUUGUUUUUCUGAAAAUCAAUUAAAGAACUGUUUAUGCUAAGUUGUUUAGACUUUAUCAGGCUAACUGUUUAGUUUUGAGCUUUUCUUUAAUGCACUUUUCAGUUAACAAGUCAACAUCAAUUUCUUUUGCUGUAAAAAAGCUUGAGGAAGGUGGCUUGAGAUUCGUCUUAAGUGUUUAUAGCCUCUUGCCUAUGCAGUCGGAGAGAUUGAGGUCUGCAGCGUAGAUCCUUCGGGGCUAAAUGCAUUUGUGCUAAGUUAUAGCAUUUUAUAGACAACUUGUUGACUAUGAUUUGUCUUGUAGCUUACUCGCUUAUGUUAUUUUACCUACGCUUAGGAUGUUGACGCGCGUGUGUGCGUG